UCCCCUGUAGCUCAAUGGUGGAGCAAGAAGCUGUUAACUUCGAGGUUGCCAGUUCGAGUCUGGCCGGGGGAGCCA
rnacentral:tRNA from 1 species